UCCAGAUGUGCAAAGCUGAUAGAGACCUAUCCACACAGACUCAAGGCUGUAAUUGCUGCCAAAGAUCCUGACUGGCCUGAUGAAGAUUGUCAGUGUUUCUUCUUUUCUAACACUGAGGUGCCGUGCACAAUCCUGAUUUGAUGGACACGGACGUGAGAGUACGGAGGAACAUCUGGUGAAACUUCUGAAAUGCCUGCUUUGCUGCUGCUGCUACUGUGUGGUCCUGAAUCUCCG